UACGUAGGUGGCAAGCGUUGUCCGGAUUUACUGGGCGUAAAGGGCGUGCAGGCGGUUUGUUAAGUGCAGGGUGAAAGCUCCCGGCUCAACUGGGAGAGGUCCUUGCAUACUGGCGAACUUGAGGGGGGUAGAGGAAAGUGGAAUUCCCGGUGUAGUGGUGAUAUGCGUAGAUAUCGGGAGGAACACCUGUGGCGAAGGCGGCUUUCUGGGCCCUACCUGACGCUGAGACGCGAAAGCGUGGGGAGCGAACCGG
rnacentral:rRNA from 1 species